rnacentral:rRNA from 1 species
UUGCACCACAUGUGUUUUUUAUUGAACAAAUUUCUUUGGUGGCGGGAGCAAUCCUACCGCCAGAGGUUAUAACUAAACCAAACUUUUUAUUUACAGUCAAACUUGAUUUAUUAUUACAAUAGUCAAAACUUUCAACAACGGAUCUCUUGGUUCUCGCAUCGAUGAAGAACGCAGCGAAAUGCGAUACGUAAUAUGAAUUGCAGAUAUUCGUGAAUCAUCGAAUCUUUGAACGCACAUUGCGCCCUUUGGUAUUCCAAAGGGCAUGCCUGUUUGAGCGUCAUUUCUCCCUCAAACCCCCGGGUUUGGUGUUGAGCAAUACGCUAGGUUUGUUUGAAAGAAUUUAACGUGGAAACUUAUUUUAAGCGACUUAGGUUUAUCCAAAACGCUUAUUUUGCUAGUGGCCACCACAAUUUAUUUCAUAACUUUGACCUCAAAUCAGGUAGGACUACCCGCUGAACUUAAGCAUAUCAAUAAGCGGGGAAAAAGAAAA